rnacentral:lncRNA from 1 species
GGGUAGGCGUUGAUCGUGAUUAGUAUACCCUCGACAUGGAUCUUGCUGCAUGAAAUCCACUUCGAUAAGAGAAGUAACAUGCUCCUCGGAUAACAUACCCAGGGUAGAGAGUAUUGCUCGUCUCUCUUGUCCAUCUUUUCCUCAUUGGAUAACUUGGACAUAUAGUAUUUUUGUGGAAAAAAUGGGACACAGCUUGAUUAAUUAUAAAUUAUGGAGGCUGUUUUUUUUCCCUUUCUUCAAGUACAUCAGUAGUUGUUGGAAUAAAAAAUGCACCUGAAGUCUAACAUGUACAUAUCGCUCUAAUUAAAAAAAAAAAAAUCUACUCUUAUGGUUGCCAUAGAGAACUAUGAUUUUUGAGCAUCCUCUCUCA